ACCCUUGCUCCUCCCCCCUCCCACACCCUCAAUCUUUACUUCUCCCCCCGGACGGCCUCAAGUAAAUCUUUUAAGUCUGGUACUUCCAGGUCCUUUCGUGUGUUAAUGUGGGUGGUGGAGGAGGGGCGUAUCCCUAACCACCAAAAAGGAAUCCUAUGUAUAUUUUUUGGAGAAGGGAAUGUUCAUAAAUGGUAUGAUCUGAAUGGUUCUGCAGGUUCCGUUUAGCUUUCCUGUCAGGACAUGUUUAUCUACCUUGCUUUCUUUUUUAAGUUCUAGACAGUAUGUUGUAGUUUGGAAGUGCCCUCGUUUUGUUUCUUUUUUCUUCCUUUUCUGUUUUUCUUCUUUUUUGAGACAGAGUCUCACUCUGCCACCCAUGCUGGGGUGCAGUGGCGCGAUCUCGGCUCACUGCAACCUCCGCUUCCUGGGAUCAAGCGACUCUCCUGCCUCAGCCUCCCGAGUAGCUGGGAUUACACGAACCCGCCACUGCACCUGGCCUUGGAAGUGCCCUUGCUUCUUUAGACUGUACUUUACUGAUAGACUUUUAGGAUGUUUCCAGCUUGUGCUGAUGUUAUUCUUAUCCUGGCUUACCUUCUGGUGGAGUUAAAGGAGAAAUUAGCAUUCUUGAAAAGGGAAUACAGCAAGACACUAGCCCGCCUUCAGCGUGCCCAAAGAGCUGAAAAGAUUAAGCAUUCUAUUAAGAAAACAGUAGAAGAACAAGAUUGUUUGUCUCAGCAGGAUCUCUCACCGCAGCUAAAACACUCAGAACCUAAAAAUAAAAUAUGUGUUUAUGACAAGUUACACAUCAAAACCCAUCU
rnacentral:lncRNA from 10 species